AUGAACGCUGGCGGCGUGCCUAAUACCUGCCAGUCGAGCGCACAGACGAGGAGCUUGCUCCUCUGACGUUAGCGGCGGACGGGUGAGUAACACGUGGAUAACCUACCUAUAAGACUGGGAUAACUUCGGGAAACCGGAGCUAAUACCGGAUAAUAUAUUGAACCGCAUGGUUCAAUAGUGAAAGACGGUUUUGCUGUCACUUAUAGAUGGAUCCGCGCCGCAUUAGCUAGUUGGUAAGGUAACGGCUUACCAAGGCAACGAUGCGUAGCCGACCUGAGAGGGUGAUCGGCCACACUGGAACUGAGACACGGUCCAGACUCCUACGGGAGGCAGCAGUAGGGAAUCUUCCGCAAUGGGCGAAAGCCUGACGGAGCAACGCCGCGUGAGUGAUGAAGGUCUUCGGAUCGUAAAACUCUGUUAUUAGGGAAGAACAAAUGUGUAAGUAACUAUGCACGUCUUGACGGUACCUAAUCAGAAAGCCACGGCUAACUACGUG
rnacentral:rRNA from 1 species